UCAUGAAGAACUCCGAUUGCGAAGGCAGCUUGCUGCAGUGCGACUGACGCUGAUGCUCGAAGGUGCGGGUAUCAAACAGGAUUAGAUACCCUGGUAGUCCGCACGGUAAACGAUGGAUGCCCGCUGUCCGCCUUUUGUGGCGGGUGGCCAAGCGAAAGCGUUAAGCAUCCCACCUGGGGAGUACGCCGGCAACGGUGAAACUCAAAGGAAUUGACGGGGGCCCGCACAAGCGGAGGAACAUGUGGUUUAAUUCGAUGAUACGCGAGGAACCUUACCCGGGCUUGAACUGCCAGUGAACGAUACAGAGAUGUUGAGGCCCUUCGGGGCGCUGGUGGAGGUGCUGCAUGGUUGUCGUCAGCUCGUGCCGUGAGGUGUCGGCUUAAGUGCCAUAACGAGCGCAACCCCUUUUUUCAGUUGCCAUCAGGUAAUGCUGGGCACUCUGGAGAUACUGCCACCGCAAGGUGUGAGGAAGGUGGGGAUGACGUCAAAUCAGCACGGCCCUUACGUCCGGGGCUACACACGUGUUACAAUGGGGCAUACAGAGUGUUGGCUUAACGCAAGUUUGGUCUAAUCUUCAAAGUGUCUCCCAGUUCGGACUGGGGUCUGCAACCCGACCCCACGAAGCUGGAUUCGCUAGUAAUCGCGCAUCAGCCAUGGCGCGGUGAAUACGUUCCCGGG
rnacentral:rRNA from 1 species